rnacentral:rRNA from 1 species
GACGUAGGGCGCGAGCGUUGUCCGGAUUUAUUGGGCGUAAAGAGCUCGUAGGCGGCUUGUCGCGUCGACUGUGAAAACUCGAGGCUCAACCUCGAGCUGUCGGCCGAAACCAUCUGGCUAGAGUCCGGAAGAGGAGAAUGGAAUUCCCGGUGUAGCGGUGAAAUGCGCAGAUAUCGGGAAGAACACCCGUGGCGAAGGCGGUUCUCUGGGACGGUACUGACGCUGAGACGCGAAAGCGUGGGGAGCGAACAGG